rnacentral:tRNA from 2 species
GCCCGGGUGGCGGAACUGGUAGACGCGCAUGGUUGAGGGCCAUGUGACCUUUAGGUCGUGCAAGUUCGAUUCUUGUUCCGGGCA